GACGAACGCUGGCGGCGUGCUUAACACAUGCAAGUCGAACGGAAAGGCCCUGCUUUUGUGGGGUGCUCGAGUGGCGAACGGGUGAGUAACACGUGAGUAACCUGCCCUUGACUUUGGGAUAACUUCAGGAAACUGGGGCUAAUACCGGAUAGGAGCUCCUGCUGCAUGGUGGGGGUUGGAAAGUUUCGGCGGUUGGGGAUGGACUCGCGGCUUAUCAGCUUGUUGGUGGGGUAGUGGCUUACCAAGGCUUUGACGGGUAGCCGGCCUGAGAGGGUGACCGGCCACAUUGGGACUGAGAUACGGCCCAGACUCCUACGGGAGGCAGCAGUGGGGAAUAUUGCACAAUGGGCAGAAGCCUGAUGCAGCAACGCCGCGUGCGGGAUGACGGCCUUCGGGUUGUAAACCGCUUUCGCCUGUGACGAAGCGUGAGUGACGGUAAUGGGUAAAGAAGCACCGGCUAACUACGU
rnacentral:rRNA from 1 species